GGCUGGUCUGAAGGUAGUGAGUUAGCUCAAUUGAUUGUUCACAGUCAGUUAUAGGUCAAGCUCCUUGUUCUACUCUUCCCCUCUUCUCACUACUGCACUUCACUAGUCUUAA
ensembl:misc_RNA Y_RNA Y RNA